rnacentral:tRNA from 1 species
GCCUGGGUGGCUGAGUCGGUUAAGUACCUGACUUCGGCUCAGGUCGUGAUCUCACGCUUUGUGAGUUUGAGCCCCGCCUCGGGCU